rnacentral:lncRNA from 1 species
GGAAAAUAUCUGUUUUGGAAAUGCAUGUGAAUUACUAUUAGUACCCUUACAGUGUAAAAAUUACAAUUUUAAUCAAGUGUUGACUGUUUUUCCCAUCUCCUGGACAAACAAAUUUAAAGGUAUAAUCCUAAUGAAGAAAAAAAAAAGUACAAAUGAUAAAAUAUAUAAAAAUUUGAUCAAUUUUGUACUGAAAUUAAGGAUUGGCAGUGAUAAGGAGAAAAUUUUAAAAUAAGACCAUUUUGACCCCCCAAAAAAACAAUCUCCGUACAGCAUUACAAAUGGAUAUGUUAUAUAAUUUGUUAAGAUAAAUAAAUAUAUAUCAACUUAAUAUAGACAAAUAUCAUACAAACUACACAAACAUAUUCAAGGAUCAUAUCUUUGUUCUUUUUACUGUGGAUUCAUUAUUAUUUGUUGGAUACCAAUUUUCGUGGGUUUCGUGGGUACAGUUGAACCACGAAUUCAAAUGUUCAACAAAUAUCAUAUUUUCAAUAGGCUUUGUAUACAGAGAUUGGCAAAACCAUGAAAUCAAAUAUCCAUAUAUAUAUGUAAGUUUUCUGCAAUCUACAAAAAAUAAUACCCACGAAA